CUCGUCGCUGCGUCUCAGCCCAUCGACGCCUUCUGCUCCCUCAUUGCUUCGUCGUCUCCAUAGGAGACGAUCCCCUUCCUGAGUCAAGGUGUCUAUCCAUAAUUAGGCGAUAGUAAAUGGGGUCUAUCCACAAUUAAGCAUGGAUGUUAUAAAGAUUGUUGUAUUCUUACCUCAAAUACUCUCUUGAAGAAGUGAAGACGACUGAGUGCAGAACUGAGUAACAAACACUUUGAUCCAGGGUUGCUGAGAAUUGUAAGAGAGCCAAGGCUUGCAGCAAGUGCUGGUGUGUAUCCCACAAGCAUCCCAAUCCUGCUUGCUACUUUAGUUUCCUUCCUGUUUUCUGGUGAACUCGAGUUUAAAAAAAACUUGGGAGUAUGGAAUAUUUUUGCCUCUGACUUCAGAGAAGCCGGCAUUUAACAUGGAAACUAAGGCUACUACAGACGCAACCUUGACAAAGACGGAGGCAGGACCAUGAAGCUUAACAAGAUAGACAUUCUCUGUGUUUGUGUGUAUGAGUGCUGUGGUGUCUUUUAUGAGAAAUCAUGUGUCUUUUAUGAGAAAUUAUGGGAAACCAUGUGAUUCCUACGUGGCCCUUUACAGUAUCAGGAGAACUUGAGGAUAUCAUUGCCUGCAGAAAUAUAAGCUUCAGAAUA